UACAGAGGUCUCAAGCGUUGUUCGGAUUCAUUGGGCGUAAAGCGCGUGUAGGCGGGUCGGUAAGUCCGCUCUGAAAGCCCGGGGCUCAACCCCGGGAGGCGGGUGGAUACUGUCGACCUCGAGUCCGGAAGAGGCGAGUGGAAUUCCUGGUGUAGCGGUGAAAUGCGCAGAUAUCAGGAGGAACACCAAUGGCGAAGGCAGCUCGCUGGGACGGUACUGACGCUGAGACGCGAAAGCGUGGGGAGCAAACAGG
rnacentral:rRNA from 1 species